GACGAACGCUGGCGGCGUGCUUAACACAUGCAAGUCGAACGGAAAGGCCCUGAUCUUGUGGGGUGCUCGAGUGGCGAAAGGGUGAGUAACACGUGAGUAAAAUGUCCUUGACUGUGGGAUAACUUCAGGAGACUGGGGAUAAUAUAGGACAGGAGAUCCUGCUGCAUGGUGGGGGUUGGAAAGAUUCGUCGUUUGGGGAUGGACACGCGGAUUAUCAGCUUGUUGGUGGGGUAGUGGCUUAACACGGCAUUGACGGUUAGCCGGCCUGAGAGGGUGAGAGGCCACAUUGGGCCUCAGGUACCGCCCAGACUCCUUCUGGAGGCAGCAGUGGAGGACUUUGCAAGAUGGGCCGAAUCCGGAUGCAGCAUCGUCGCGUCCGAGAUCACGGCCGUCGGGUUGGAAACCGCGUUCGCCUGUGACGAAGCGUGAGUGACGGUAACGUGUAAGGAAGCACCGGCUAACUACGUG
rnacentral:rRNA from 1 species